rnacentral:rRNA from 1 species
AUAAGCGAGUAAGGGCACAUAGAGAAUGCCUAGGUACCAAGAGCCGAAGAAGGACGUGGUUGACUGCGAAAAGCUUCGAGGAGUCGUCAGCAGGCGUUAUAACUCGAAGAUAUCCGAAUGGGGAAACCCGGCAGAGCUAAUCCUCUGUCAUCCUUAGUUGAAUACAUAGGCUAAGGAAGGUAAGCGGGUGAACUGAAACAUCUAAGUAACCCGAGGAAAAGAAAGUAUUCUGUGAGUAGUGGCGAGCGAAAGCGGAACAGCCCAAACCGGGUGGUACGCCACCUGGGGUUGUAGGACUUCGCAUGUGGAGUGAUAAAUUGGUUAAUUAGCAGAACUCAUCUGGAAAGGUAGACCAUAGAGGGUGAUAGUCCCGUAUGUGAAAAUUAACUAACUCCGCGAAGUAUCCUGAGUACCACGGGACACGUGAAACCCUGUGGGAAUCUGGGGAGCCCACUUCCCAAGGCUAAAUACUCUUGGUGACCAAUAGUGGACAAGUACCGUGAGGGAAAGGUGAAAAGAACGGCCGUGAGCCGAGUGAAAUAGAACCUGAAACUAUGUGCCUACAAGCAGUCGAAGCACGAUACACAUGAUGUGUUAGUGUGACGGCGUGCCUUUUGGAGAAUGAACCAACGAGUUACUCCUCUGUGGCGAGGUUAAGAUAAUAACAAUCGGAGCCGUAGCGAAAGCGAGUCUGAAUAGGGCGAUGAGUCGCAGGGGGUAGACACGAAACCUGGUGAGCUAACCAUGGUCAGGUUGAAGCGAGAGUAAUGCCUCGUGGAGGACCGAACGGUUGUAUGUUGAAAAAUGCUCCGAUGAACUGUGGUUAGAGGUGAAAUGCCAAGCGAACCAGGAGAUAGCUUGUUCUCCCCGAAAUAGCUUUAGGGCUAGCGUUCGGUAAUUGCUUAUCGGAGGUAGAGCACUGGAUUGGCUAGGGGGCGAAAAGCUUACCAAACCAAACUAAACUCCGAAUGCCGAUAAGUUUAUCCGGGCAGUUGGACUGUGGGAGAUGAGUUCCAUGGUCGAAAGGGAAACAGCCCAGACCGUCAGCUAAGGUCCCCAAGUACAGGCUAAGUGGGAAAGGUUGUGAGAUUACUGAGACAUCCAGGAGGUUGGCUUAGAAGCAGCCAUCCUUUAAAGAGUGCGUAAUAGCUCACUGGUCUAGUGAUGUUGCGCCGAAAAUGUAACGGGGCUCAAGUCUGUCACCGAAGCUACGGGUUUAGAGGAAAGGAAUACGGAGUUGGAAAUUAGGAGUUAGAAGCAAUUCUAAUACCCUAAUCUCUAAUCUUUAAUUCCUGACCCUGAGCGGUAGGGGAGCGUUCUGUUAGAGAAACAAGGCAUACUGUAAAGAGUGACUGUGGCUAACAGAAGUGAGAAUGUUGGUAUGAGUAGCGAAAGAGAUGUGAGAAUCAUCUCCACCGGAAGUCUAAGGUUUCCACCGGAAGGUCAAUCCGCGGUGGGUUAGUCGGGCCUAAGCCGAGGCCGAGAGGCGUAGGCGAUGGACAACAGGUUAAUAUUCCUGUACUAGCAUUGUGGAGUGAUGGUAGGACGCAGUGAGGUAGACCAGCCAGCAGAUGGCGUUUGGUGCUGAGCGUGUAGGACAAGGAUCCGUAUAGGAAAAACCGUGCGGGGAGUCUGAGGCGUUGUAUGCGAAGACCAAAAUGGUCGCAAGUGGUUAAUCCAUGCUGCCAAGAAAAGUACCUAAACUUUGAAGCAAUGCUACCCGUACCGCAAACCGACACAGGUAGACAAGUAGAGAAUACUAAGGUGAACGAGAGAACCUUCGUUAAGGAAUUCGGCAAAAUUGAUCCGUAACUUAGGGAUAAGGAUCGCCCUUUUGAGUGAAGUCGCUUGCCGAUGGAGCUUAGGGGGGCCGCAGAGAAUAGGCCCUGUCGACUGUUUAACAAAAACACAGGUCUCUGCUAACUCGUAAGAGGAAGUAUAGGGGCUGACACCUGCCCAGUGCCGGAAGGUUAAAAGGAGGCGUUAGCGAAAGCAAAGCGUUGAAUUGAAGCCCCGGUGAACGGCGGCCGUAACUAUAACGGUCCUAAGGUAGCGAAAUUCCUUGUCGGGUGAAAGUAUCGGAAAAUGCCCGAAAUGUGAAGUGAUUCGCAUUCAGUAAACUGGCUAAUAUCGGGGAAGGCUAACUCUUGAUUGUUAUAAAUCAGAUAUGCUAAUCCCGAGGCAAUCUUACUACUACAUAAGUAGUGGGGGAGCCGUAACGACUGAUUCGAAAGAUGAGAUUUGUCUUGUAUUGUCAGGAUGAAUAAUACGCCAGCUCUUAUUUAGUAGAAGGUAUCUAUGGAUUUUGCAUCGUAUAUUACCGGGUUUACAGAUGGAGAAGGAUGCUUUUUGAUUUCAUUUAAUCAACGAGCAAAACUGAAAACUGGACUUGAAGUUCAACCGAGUUUUUCGAUUUCUCAGCAUAAGAGAAACAGGAAGAUUCUGGAAGAUAUUCAUUCGUAUUUCAAGUGUGGAGGAAUUCAUUUUUCAAAGCGGGAUCAGAAUUAUAAAUGGGAAGUUCGAAGCCUUUCGGAUAUUCUCACAAAGAUAAUUCCUCAUUUUGAAAAAUACCAACUGAAAACCAAAAAGAAAGAUGAUUUUCUUAUAUUUAGAGAAAUCUGUUUCUUAAUGAAAGAGUCGAAGCAUUUAAAUGCUAAGUAUCUCUCUGAGAUAAUAGAUAAAGCGUAUAUAAUGAAUGAAUCUGGGAAAAGGAAAUAUACAAAAUCAAAACUUCUAAGGAUAUUGAAUAAGAAGAUGAGAUAGUCUAAUCAGCCAUGAAAAUGGUCGUAAAGUUACUUUUAUAUAAAAGUAAUUCCUCAAAUGAAGUUCCGACCCGCACGAAAGGUGUAACGAACGGGGUAC